rnacentral:lncRNA from 1 species
UCUGUGUCCUUCAACAUCGUGUUUAGAUCCGUCCCUCCCAUCCUUGAAGGAUGCCGUCUUUGACCCUUCUUCGUUGCAUCUAUCAAACAAAUUAGGGUUCCGAUCUGUUACCUGUUGUGUCCGUUAAAAAAAAAAUUCUUUGCCUCAAAAUUUCAUCUUCAAAAAAAGAGAGAGAGAGAGUUUUCGAUUUUCCUUUAUUUUGCUUGAGAUUUAUGUUCUAAUCUGAAAUUCAUUACCUUAAAGAUUUGCUAUAUCGGUUCGAUUUCCAUUACGAUUGCUUUAUUUUGUAUCGGAUUUGGGGUUAAACCCAAGCUUCCGUGUUUUUACAUUAAAUCAGUAACCAUCGGCUUCUAUCUGGAAAAUUUUUACAUUAAAACAAACGGAGCUUGAAAGUUAAAAAUUGACAUUCCAUUGAGUUUAAGUUUGAAAGUUUGGCUCAACUCACCGAUUACACCCGCUUAAAUGAAAGUAGAAGCCCUUAUUACAUCAAUACAUCUGUGUGUGUUUUUUCCGCUUCCUCCUUUCUUUUGGCCCUUUAUUU